CGGAAUCCUCCUUCAGUAAGUUUUUUAUUCUUUAUUCCAAGGCAAUUAUCCUGAAACAAAAUGAAUAUCCUGAUAUGUGUAGGAUGUGUGCAUUCCUGCUCUGCCCCAGUUGAGUGACACAUGGAAUAAAUAUCCCCUUCAAUUUGCACAGGUUGUUAGAGAAAUGCGCCUCGAACUGAAGGAUGAACGCUUCAACAUCACCGUGCUUGGGUUCAGACCCGGCAGUGUGAUUGCUGAUUUUAUUUCUCUGCUGCCAAAAGAAGAGCCAGUAGAUGUGAAUCUUAUACAGACCCACCUAAGUCAAGUAUUAAAGCGCAAGUUUGGGAACGAAACUGAAGUAAAUGUACGAUCCCUGUCCGUUCAGUCACCAACCGACAACAGUUCUGGCUGGAGAGUAGCAGUGAUUGUCCUUGGAGUUUUACUUGGAGUUGCAUUAGUGCUGAUUCUUCUGGCAAUAGUAUUUUACAUCUAUAUGAGGAAAAGGUGGGGUAAAUAUUUGGUUGAACCACAGGACUCAUGGGAAAUUUUUUCUAAAAGCACUUAUAAGAUGCACAAUGUUUCAUUUUUGGAAUAAGGCAGAAUAUUAAUAUGUUUGUCUUAAAAUUCUAUGUCAAUUGUUUAUACUAACUUAAUUUAAUUCUACCUGCUCUUUCCCAAUGUCCAUCACCAAAUUCCUGAGCUCCUAACAACCUCCAGUGAAUCAUCCUUUUAGCAGAUAUGGAGUGGGGAAUUUUCCCCAUACUGGUAGAGUGAGGAGCAGAGAAACCUCUGUUCAACCUGUCCCCCAGAGGUAUCACAAUGACUCCCAACAUUGAUUUGCUAGAGAGAGAGGAUCCAAACUACACAAUACUUUCUUGUAUUGUGUAGUUUGGAUCUCAGAGUGACUGAGCUUGGUACCUGUGGCAGGUUACCUGAAUCCUCAGCUGAGCCCAGAGUUGGGCUUUAUGCACUUGGCCAAGGGUGAUUCACCUCCCCUGAGGUUUGUAUCACCAUAUGAAGAUACCUCUUUCUCUCCAGUGGCUGCAGAACAAGCCACUGGAGUUUGUUAGGAGUUUGAAGAAAAAUGGGAUGCAUCUGGCUUAUAUGGACUUGCUGUAAAAGUCUCUGAUGGAGCAGCAGAUUGAUCUGGAGGCUUCUGAAUUCAAGGUUUCUUUAAUUGUCGGGCUAUGAAGAAGCAGCUGCUUUUCUGUGACAAAUGUAAAUCAUGCUAAAUACAGGUGUGGUUUAACAGCACAGCCAAAACAUGUUACUAGAUAGGUUAAUUUGAGCCAAAAGAUUGUAUUAAUCUAUUUUUGCCUGGCAAAUAUGGUUGGUUGGUCAAGGGUGUGUCAUGUAGUACAAUUUUACCUCAGUCUUGAUAAUCCCAAGGUAGAGCCCAGUAGGAGCAACCUGAAGGCUCCUGUGACACUGGAGCAGACCUUGUGCUUUAGAGCAAAUAAAAGAAAUGGCCUUUACCUGUUUUCA
rnacentral:lncRNA from 1 species